rnacentral:rRNA from 1 species
UACGUAGGGGGCAAGCGUUGUCCGGAUUUAUUGGGCGUAAAGAGCGUGUAGGCGGUUUGGUAGGUCCGCUGUGAAAACUCGAGGCUCAACCUCGAGACGCCGGUGGAAACCAUCAGACUAGAGUCCGGAAGAGGAGAGUGGAAUUCCUGGUGUAGCGGUGAAAUGCGCAGAUAUCCGGAAGAACACCGGUGGCGAAGGCGGCUCUCUAGUACGGUACUGACGCUGAGACGCGAAAGCGUGGGGAGCGAACAGG